AUACGGAGGGUGCAAGCGUUAAUCGGAAUUACUGGGCGUAAAGCGCGCGUAGGCGGUUUGGUCAGUCGGAGGUGAAAGCCCUGGGCUUAACCGAGGAAUUGCCUUCGAAACUGCACGGCUGGAGUCCGGUAGAGGGAGACGGAAUGCCCGGUGUAGCGGUGAAAUGCGUAGAUAUCGGGAGGAACACCUGUGGCGAAGGCGGUCUCCUGGGCCGGUACUGACGCUGAGGGACGAAAGCGUGGGGAGCAAACAGGAUUAGAAACCCCAGUAGUCC
rnacentral:rRNA from 1 species